ACCUCCUGUAGAUAAACAAAUUUUACAAAACCUGAUACUAGACGCUCAGAAUAAUAAUAAUUAAAUACUAACAAAAAACAUAACCGAUCUCAUUUCAUUUCCUGGUUUGUCUGUCACUCACCUUGGACACGCCCCCAUUUUUUUUCAACCUGACAGACAAUUGGUUUCACCUGGUGUCUGCUCAGAUAUAUGAGGACUUCUCUACAUGCACACCUUUUCAGUUUGUUGAGCUGUGUUUGUAUAGUGUCCUCGAUUGUUUGUAGCAUUCCUUGUUCUGUCUCUGCUGGUUCUGAGCAUUUGGUCUUGCCUUGAACUUCCACAGUCCGCCCAUGUCGUCGCUGCUCUCGAAGCAGGUUGGCACCAUGCCCUCGUCCAGACAAGCCUUCACGCUGGCCAGACCGGAGGGGCCGGCCCCGAUCACCGCUACCGUGUGCACCAUGAUGGAGCUGCAACAUGGAACCACAUUUACCCCAGAGAUGUUUUAACAAAAUGAGAAGGAAAAUCAAUACAGCUCAUUCUUAUUUUGUUGUAUCACUGCCACAUCAGGAAACUGCCACACUUGAGAGUCAGAGUGGACUUUUUAAAAGUGAUUUCACCGAGUACCUAAACCUCGGAAUGAGUGACAUGAAAUCAGCCACACCUGUGCAGUCAUUGAUAUUAAGUAAUGUUUUCCAGGUUUUUAUGCUUGUGCAAAUAUUUGCUGUGUGGGUAUUAUUUCUUUCCUCAUACUUUGAUCCUGUACAUAACAUUUGAACUGUUCACAUCACCUGAUAUAAUAGUUUGUUGCUUGUAUUGUCAGUACAAAGCUGACAAAUGCUUCAUCAGACUGUACUAUUUACAAAGUCACCAUUCAUUCACGUAACAGGGUAAAUGUGAUAUCUGUGUACGUUAUUUUAAGUCAUAUGUCACACAACUGA